GGACAAUGGGCGCACUGANUGCCAGCCAUGCCGCGUGCAGGAUGAAGGCCUUCGGGUUGUAAACUGCUUUUGUACGGAACGAAAAGGUGCCUUCUAAUAAAGGGCGCUCAUGACGGUACCGUAAGAAUAAGCACCGGCUAACUACGUGCCAGCAGCCGCGGUAAUACGUAGGGUGCGAGCSUUAAUCGGAAUUACUGGGCGUAAAGCGUGCGCAGGCGGUUUUGUAAGACAGAGGUGAAAUCCCCGGGCUCAACCUGGGAACUGCCUUUGUGACUGCAAGGCUGGAGUGCGGCAGAGGGGGAUGGAAUUCCGCGUGUAGCAGUGAAAUGCGUAGAUAUGCGGAGGAACACCGAUGGCGAAGGCAAUCCCCUGGGCCUGCACUGACGCUCAUGCACGAAAGCGUGGGGAGCAAACAGGAUUAGAUACCCUGGUAGUCCACGCCCUAAACGAUGUCAACUGGUUGUUGGGUCUUAAUUGACUCAGUAACGAAGCUAACGCGUGAAGUUGACCGCCUGGGGAGUACGGCCGCAAGUUGAAACUCAAAGGAAUUGACGGGGACCGCACAAGCGUGGAUGAUGUGGUUUAAUUCG
rnacentral:rRNA from 1 species